rnacentral:misc_RNA from 1 species
GAUGAAGAACGUAGCGAAAUGCGAUAAGUAAUGCGAAUUGCAGAAUUCAGUGAGUCAUCGAAUCUUUGAACGCACAUUGCGCCCUGUGGUAUUCCGCAGGGCAUGCCUGUUCGAGCGUCAUUUCAACCCUCAAGCUCUGCUUGGUGUUCGGCCCUGCCCGCUGCGGCCGGCCCUAAAGACAGUGGCGGUGCCGCCUGGCCCUGAGCGUAGUACAUCUCUCGCUCCAGUGCCCGGUGGUAGCCUGCCAGAACCCCAACUCUCGUGGUUGACCUCGGAUCAGGUAGGGAUACCCGCUGAACUUAAGCAUAUCAAUAAGCGGAGGA